GCAUGCCGCGUGCAGGAAGAAGGCCUUCGGGUUGUAAACUGCUUUUGUACGGAACGAAACGGUCUUGGUUAAUACCUGGGGCUAAUGACGGUACCGUAAGAAUAAGCACCGGCUAACUACGUGCCAGCAGCCGCGGUAAUACGUAGGGUGCAAGCGUUAAUCGGAAUUACUGGGCGUAAAGCGUGCGCAGGCGGUUUUGUAAGACAGGCGUGAAAUCCCCGGGCUUAACCUGGGAAUGGCGCUUGUGACUGCAAAGCUGGAGUGCGGCAGAGGGGGAUGGAAUUCCGCGUGUAGCAGUGAAAUGCGUAGAUAUGCGGAGGAACACCGAUGGCGAAGGCAAUCCCCUGGGCCUGCACUGACGCUCAUGCACGAAAGCGUGGGGAGCAAACAGGAUUAGAUACCCUGGUAGUCCACGCCCUAAACGAUGUCAACUGGUUGUUGGGUCUCUUCUGACUCAGUAACGAAGCUAACGCGUGAAGUUGACCGCCUGGGGAGUACGGCCGCAAGGUUGAAACUCAAAGGAAAAUUGACGGA
rnacentral:rRNA from 1 species